UAGACCAAUGAUGAGAGUGUGUUAUCAGCCAAGGGUUAUGAUGAAUUCAAUUUUGUACACCUGAAGUCCAAA
rnacentral:snoRNA from 1 species